UUUGACUCAUUUUGGAAUUAGAAAGAGGCUGGCUGUAGAAAGCCUUAACUCCUUCUGCUUCUGCAUUGAAAAGGACAUUGGAUUUAAUUGAUAAAACUUCUGUCAGUGAAGUUUUCCCAUGGAUGAGCAUUUCCUCUGGAGCCUGCUGUUGGGAAACUCACCGCUGAAUCUUUGAUCAAGUGUGCUGUCAAGGGCAGGGAGAUUUGCAGCAGGAAGACUCCUCACUUCGCUUUGUUGUUCAAUCCUGCCCAGAAAAUGUUGUGCCUUCGCUGAAGGAAUACUCAUAGAACACAUUCCUGAAGUAUCGCUGUCUGAAUUUGUUUUCCUUCACAUCUGGCAAUAAGGAAGUUCAGGGACAUUUUUAGUGUAUAUUUCCUGGUGAUUCGCCAAUAAUAAACGUCAUGUUUC